rnacentral:lncRNA from 10 species
UAGACAUCUCCAUGUUUCCUCCUGGAGAUUUAAAAUGUGCAUUGGUGCCCUUGUGAGUUUGUUGUGGCAUCUUGGGGUGCCUUGGCACACAGCUUGGGAACCAUGGCCUCAUGAGCACAUGUUGCCAGGCACUGAGCCAUGCCCCAUGGAGCUCAGUCUACUGGGGAAGAUGGAGAGAGAUGACUGAUCAGAGCUGGGAUGGAGUGUUCACCAGGUGCCAUGUGGGAACCAUCUCUGAGGACAGUCUUCUUUCUGAUCAGCAAGGCUCGAGGGUCGCUAAUGAUAAUCAAAAGAGUCCCACUUGUCCUGCUCUCCCUCUGCAUCCACUUCUACCACACUGAUAAGUAGAAAGAAAGAAAAGUCAACAACCUCAGGAUGCUGGCGACGUCAUGCAACCCCUUGAUGAGUUUUUCCAAGCUGAAGACAGUCCUCUCAGCUGACACAGCAAGGACAUAUAUGCGUGCAUGCUAAUCUAUUAGUAAAGAGAACAUUGACUGUCCAUGGUAAGAUCUGGAAAUAUGGAUACACAAAAUAUCACUAUAGCAUACUCCUAAUCAACUACUUAUAUAAAGCAAGGAUACUGAUGACCAAGAAUAUGAUACACUGGAAACUUUUUGGCAAACUAACAAAAAUAAUGAGAUUAGCUGGUUGCUUCUAAUGUCAUUGGACAAGGUGGGAAAAGAAAGAGAUCAGAUCAGGUAUUUGAAUUCCCAGAAAAAUGAUCUAAAAGCUUCUGUGUGUGCCCUAAAGGAGACCCUUAUCUCCUGUAGUUGCAGGGCCGAUAUUGCUGAAAAUUAAACCUAGAACCUCAUAUUGUGGUGGGCUGAAUUAUUUAAUACAAUGCAAGUUGAACUCCCAGUCUUGUAGAUGUCCACUGUUAAAGCAAAGGUAUUGAUUGGGAAGGAAUAGGGCUCUGAAAGUUGGAAUGGGGAUGUGUAGGAGGACCCUGAUAAGGCUGGAGACAUUGACAUUGAGCCUCUAAGUUCAGAUGAGUUUUUUUUUUGCCCGUGAAGGAGACCCCCCCCACCUAGUGGGAGCAGCUUUUCCACUCCCAUCUGAGAGGCUUAACACUGCUUUGCCUGAGGAAACUUUAAUGACCUCCCCUGAGGCAAUUGCCAUACAAGACUGAGUCCCCUCAGGAACCACCCCCACCACCCCUCUUUGCUCCUAGACUUCUAACUAGACUCAAGUUCCAGCAAGCCCCUGAAGGUGGGAACAAAGUAUGCACACUUUGUAGCAUAGGCAUGCUACAUUAAAAUCAAAACAAAACAAAACAACAACAACAACAAAACCCUUGAAUUUUCUAAUUUAUACAGACAGAAAUCCAAAAAAAUAUGUACAGGAAAGAAUAUUAGUAGGAAGAAUCAAUAUUGUGAAAAUGGCCAUACUGCCCAAGGUAAUUUAUAG